CAUUCCAAGAAGAGCUGGAGAAAAACAUGCGACAGGAGCGGGGAAUGUGAAAGAAGACAGCCUUGGCGCCAUUCAUCCGAGAGCCUUUUGACAAUGUUUGACAGUCGCCGUGGCGUGAUCAGGUAGAGAGAGACCCAAGUGCAUGCUGUUGCAAUGCUUGUGUGCUGGGGCAGAUGAGAGGACACCUGAGAAGUCCUUGAGAAGAGUCAGGGAGCCUCCUGUCCCGCGGUGAGCUCAGCGUGUGGUCGGGACCUGUCAUAAGCCUCCCAAGCCAAGCCAAACCAACCCAACUCAACUGUCACGCCGUAACCCCCUCAGUCAGACGUCAAAAUGUUCCCGCUGUGCCAUGAGGAAUUAAAGGUGGGUUAUAUGUGAAGCCUUUUGAUCCUCUUAGAAAUGUCUGAACAGUUUGCAGAAGAAAUAAAAAGCACUAAUCAGCUAAUAGAGUCAAGUGCAACUGUAGUCUUGUGCAAUGGCCAUGGUUAUCUUUGUCAAUGAAAUAGAUCCAAGUCAUUGUUCUUUAACAAUGUGCUGCAGC